UACGGAGGGUGCGAGCGUUGUCCGGAAUCACUGGGCGUAAAGGGCGCGUAGGCGGCGCGAGUAGUCAACGGUGAAAGCCCGGGGCUCAACCCCGGGUCGGCCGUCGAUACUCUCGUGCUUGAGCACUGUAGAGGCAGGUGGAAUUCCGGGUGUAGCGGUGGAAUGCGUAGAGAUCCGGAAGAACACCGGUGGCGAAGGCGGCCUGCUGGGCAGUAGCUGACGCUGUGGCGCGACAGCGUGGGGAGCAAACAGG
rnacentral:rRNA from 1 species